CAGCAGUUCUACCUAACCCGAUAGGGGCUGGGUAAUCUUCAUAAUACGCACCGUGCUUGGGAUUGAUCUUUGCAAUUAUGGAUCAUGAACGAGGAAUUCCUAGUAAGUGCAAGUCAUCAUCUUGUACUGAUUACGU
rnacentral:rRNA from 1 species